UACGAAGGGAGCAAGCGUUGUUCGGAUUUACUGGGCGUAAAGGGCGCGUAGGCGGUUAAACAAGUUGGAAGUGAAAGCCCCGGGCUUAACUCGGGAAUUGCUUUCAAGACUGUUUGACUCGAGUGUGGAAGAGGUUGGUGGAAUUCCCAGUGUAGAGGUGAAAUUCGUAGAUAUUGGGAAGAACAUCCGUGGCGAAGGCGGCCAACUGGUCCAUAACUGACGCUGAGGCGCGAAAGCGUGGGGAGCAAACAGG
rnacentral:rRNA from 1 species